GGGCAGUUAGCUCAGUUGGUAGAGCGAGCGACUGAAAAUCGCUAGGUCCCCGGUUCAACCCCGGGACUGCCCACUA
rnacentral:tRNA from 2 species